GCCGCGCUCCUCCACGGGGCGGCCCCGUUGACGACGGCGCGGCCCCGUGGUGCGCCGCGCAGCGGGGUCGUUUGUCGCGACGGCGCGGCGCC
rnacentral:tRNA from 1 species